rnacentral:rRNA from 1 species
UACAGAGGGUGCAAGCGUUAAUCGGAAUUACUGGGCGUAAAGCGUGCGUAGACGGUUAUGUAAGUCGGGUGUGAAAGCCCCGGGCUCAACCUGGGAAUGCCAUUCGAGACUGCGUAGCUAGAGUGCGGUAGAGGGUAGUGGAAUUCCCGGUGUAGCGGUGAAAUGCGUAGAGAUCGGGAGGAACACCAGUGGCGAAGGCGGCUACCUGGACCAGCACUGACACUGAGGCACGAAAGCGUGGGGAGCAAACAGGG